UUGACACUGUUAGAUUUCAGCUUAUUUCUAAACUGGCAAUCUUCAGAGGCAAUCGUCUUCUCACUCCUCUCUCUUCAAGACGGUGUCACGGCACCAAAUGUUAGAUUUCAGCUUAUUUCUAAACUGUUCGGACAGACUCUGCGUUGUGUAUUUUCAGUCGUAGUAGUAAUUCUUGAAGUCGAAAUCAAAGCAGCUUGACAGGUUGGAUUAGAGGGUUGAAUAGAUGGUUUAUUCCAGGAUGUACAGCGAGAUACAGACUUAGGUUGAAUAAUCUAUAGUGGACCCGGUGGUCGAUGACUUGUUCCUUGGCUGUCGAAACCCUCUACUCGUCGAACCAAAGGGUUGGGGCGAGUAUAAUACAAAAAGGGGAUAGAUGAAUAA